rnacentral:rRNA from 1 species
UACAGAGACUGCAAGCGUUAUUCGGAUUCACUGGGCGUAAAGGGUGCGCAGGCGGCCGUGUGUGUGAGGCGUGAAAGCCCGAUGCUUAACUUCGGAAUUGCACCUCAAACUACACGGCUAGAGCAUUGGAGAGGGUAGCGGAAUUCACGGUGUAGCAGUGAAAUGCGUAGAUAUCGUGAGGAACACCAGAGGCGAAGGCGGCUACCUGGACAAUUGCUGACGCUCAGGCACGAAAGCGUGGGGAGCAAAAGGG